AUGAAGAUGGAAAUCACAAUAAAUUUUAAGGAGGAAUUAGAUUACAAAAGCUUAUCAAGAAGGCUAGACAAGAAAGUAGAUAAACUCAUUAUGGACCAUGAAAGACAACAAAAGGUAUUUGAGGAUGAAAUGGAAAGGUUAUCAACAAAAGAACAUCAUCGGAUAUCUGAGACUCAUAAACUAUGUAGACUCAUUGGAGGACCAUAUACCAAGAAUUUGAAAGAUGAGUGA